rnacentral:tRNA from 1 species
UAUAAAGUGGCCGAGGUUUAGGCGGUGGAUUGUAAAUCUAUUAACGGAGUUUAAACUUCCUUUAUUAAU